rnacentral:rRNA from 1 species
UACGUAGGGUGCAAGCGUUGUCCGGAAUUAUUGGGCGUAAAGAGCUCGUAGGCGGUCCGUCACGUCGGCUGUGAAAACUCGGGGCUCAACUCCGAGCUUGCAGUCGAUACGGGCAGGCUAGAGUUCGGCAGGGGAGACUGGAAUUCCUGGUGUAGCGGUGAAAUGCGCAGAUAUCAGGAGGAACACCGGUGGCGAAGGCGGUUCUCUGGGCAUUACCUGACGCUGAGGAGCGAAAGUGUGGGGAGCGAACAGG